rnacentral:rRNA from 1 species
AUGAGUGCCCUUUGCUGGAACUGCCGUGGAGCGGGCAAACCAGCGGCAGUCCGAGAACUUCGCGAAUUUGCGAGGAAGUUUACCCCUACCCUACUUUGUAUUGUGGAGACACGGAUUGAAGGUUCUAGGGUAGAAGCUUUAGCUAGUUCUAUUGGUUUUGAUAAUGCUUAUGCAGUGUUUAGUCAAGGUAGGAGUGGUGGUAUCGGUUUGUUUUGGAACAAUGAAAUAAAAGUUGAAAUUCUGGGUUACUCCGUUUACCAUCUUGAUGUCUCUGUAGAGGAGCAGGGUGAGGAUAAGUGGAGACUAACGUGUGUUUAUGGCGAGGCGCAGACGCACUUACGGCACCAAACAUGGACAACUUUGAAAAACAUCAGUACAACAAGCAGCUUAUGUAACACCCAGGAUGUAACUUUCCAUCUUUGUAACUCCAACUCUUGCCAUUUUCGGCUAUGUGAUAUGAUAUUUCCUCCGUGGUUGGGUUUUGUCUUUUGUUUUUCAUUUUAUUCAUGUCAUGCAUAUCAUAUCAUGUCAUCAUGUGCAUCUCAUUUGCAUACGUGUUCGUCUUAUGCAUCCGAGCAUUUUCCCCGUUGA